rnacentral:rRNA from 1 species
AUUGAACGCUGGCGGUAUGCUUAACACAUGCAAGUCGAACGAUGAGAAAGAGCUUGCUCUUUCGAUUAGUGGCGGACGGGUGCGUAACGCGUAGGAAUCUACCUAUUAGUGGGGGACAACUUAGGGAAACUUAAGCUAAUACCGCAUACGCCCUACGGGGGAAAGAAGGGGAUCGCAAGACCUUUUGCUAAUAGAUGAGCCUGCGUAGGAUUAGCUAGUUGGUGGGGUAAAAGCUCACCAAGGCGACGAUCCUUAACUGGUUUGAGAGAAUGAUCAGUCACACUGGAACUGAGACACGGUCCAGACUCCUACGGGAGGCAGCAGUGGGGAAUAUUAGACAAUGGGCGAAAGCCUGAUCCAGCAAUACCGCGGGUGUGAAGAAGGCCUUAGGGUUGUAAAGCACUUUCAAUUGGAAGGAAAACCUCGAAGCUAAUACCUUCGAGUUUGACAUUACCUUUAGAAGAAGCACCGGCUAACUCCGUGCCAGCAGCCGCCGUAAAAC